rnacentral:rRNA from 1 species
UCUACCUACGGGACGCAGCAGUAGGGAAUUUUCGUCAAUGGGCGCAAGCCUGAACGAGCGAUGCCGCGUGAGUGAAGAAGCCCUUCGGGUCGUAAAGCUCUGUUGCGGGGGAAAAAAGGCAGCAUCAGGAAAUGGGUGCUGACUGAUGGUGCCCCGCCAGAAAGUCACGGCUAACUACGUGCCAGCAGCCGCGGUAAUACGUAGGUGGCGAGCGUUAUCCGGAAUGAUUGGGCGUAAAGGGUGCGCAGGCGGUCCUGCAAGUCUGGGGUGAAACGCAUGAGGUCAACU